UACGGAGGGUGCAAGCGUUAUCCGGAUUCACUGGGUUUAAAGGGUGUGUAGGCGGGUAUUUAAGUCAGUGGUGAAAUCUCCAGGCUCAACCUGGAAACUGCCAUUGAUACUAUUUAUCUUGAAUAUUGUUGAGGUAGGCGGAAUAUAUCAUGUAGCGGUGAAAUGCUUAGAUAUGAUAUAGAACACCGAUUGCGAAGGCAGCUUACUAAACAAUCAUUGACGCUGAGGCACGGAAGCGUGGGGAUCAAACAGG
rnacentral:rRNA from 1 species